rnacentral:rRNA from 1 species
CCGGAGGAAGGUGGGGAUGACGUCAAGUCCUCAUGGUCCCUUAUCGGUAGGGCUUCACACGUCAUACAAUGGUCGGUACAGAGGGUUGCCAAGCCGCGAGGUGGAGCCAAUCCCUUAAAGCCGAUCGUAGUCCGGAUCGUAGUCUGCAACUCGACUACGUGAAGUCGGAAUCGCUAGUAAUCGCAGAUCAGCAUGCUGCGGUGAAUACGUUCCCGGGUCUU